rnacentral:rRNA from 1 species
GAGUUUGAUCCUGGCUCAGGAUGAACGCUGGCGGCGUGCUUAACACAUGCAAGUCGAGCGAAGCAAAUCAGAGGAAGUUUUCGGAUGGAAUCCGAUUUGACUGAGCGGCGGACGGGUGAGUAACGCGUGGGUAACCUGCCUCAUACAGGGGGAUAACAGUUAGAAAUGGCUGCUAAUACCGCAUAAGCGCACGAAGCUGCAUGGCUUAGUGUGAAAAACUCCGGUGGUAUGAGAUGGACCCGCGUCUGAUUAGCUAGUUGGUGAGGUAACGGCCCACCAAGGCGACGAUCAGUAGCCGACCUGAGAGGGUGACCGGCCACAUUGGGACUGAGACACGGCCCAAACUCCUACGGGAGGCAGCAGUGGGGAAUAUUGCACAAUGGGGGAAACCCUGAUGCAGCGACGCCGCGUGAGUGAAGAAGUAUUUCGGUAUGUAAAGCUCUAUCAGCAGGGAAGAAGAAAGACGGUACCUGACUAAGAAGCCCCGGCUAACUACGUGCCAGCAGCCGCGGUAAUUC